CUUGCGGUCGCACUCCGAGAUCAUGGGAGCAAGGACACGGAUGACAACUGGAUCAAGCGCAAGUUCCUCAAGGCCAUGAUGCCCUACAACAAGGCCAUGUCCUCCGUCAUCCGCCAAAGACCGGACUUCCACUCCAUGACCUCUGGUGAAGUGUUGGAUGAGUUUGUUGCAAUGAACAUCUUGGAUAAGACCGCCGACAAUGCGGUGCUCCGUUCCCAAAGGGCAAAGAAGCCAAAUCUUGCCUUGAAGGCCAAGGUUAGUGUGGAAGAAGAAGAAGAAGAGGAAGAUGAGGAGAGCAACCCCGAGGACACGAAGUAUGAUUAUCAUGAGCACAUGGCUCUUGCCUCAAGACAGUUUUGGAGUAAGAAGACUACU
rnacentral:rRNA from 1 species